rnacentral:lncRNA from 1 species
CAUUCAUUGAUACACUUCUUUUAGAUUCAAUACUAUCAUGGUUUUUAUCUUUUUUUGAACAACAAGAUACAAUAUUAAAUAAUCUAGAAGCAUUUUUUGCAAAAUUUCUAUCUAUGUAUGGAAAACAUGAUGCAGCUCAUGUUGAAAUCAACAAGAUCCAUAUUUUGUAAUAAGACAAUUGAUCUGUAAGAGUAUAUGCUUUACAGUUUUGAUAACUUGUAACUAAUAUGAAGUAGAAUAAUGCUACACUUAUUAGCCAAUUUUUCUAUAGAUUACAAUAUGAAGUAAAGAAAUUGAUG